rnacentral:rRNA from 1 species
GGACAGAAGGGAAGCUCUGGCUUCCCGGAUGUUAGCGGCGGACGGGUGAGUAACACGUGGGUAACCUGCCUGUAAGACUGGGAUAACUCCGGGAAACCGGAGCUAAUACCGGAUAGUUCCUUGAACCGCAUGGUUCAAGGAUGAAAGACGGUUUCGGCUGUCACUUACAGAUGGACCCGCGGCGCAUUAGCUAGUUGGUGGGGUAAUGGCUCACCAAGGCGACGAUGCGUAGCCGACCUGAGAGGGUGAUCGGCCACACUGGGACUGAGACACGGCCCAGACUCCUACGGGAGGCAGCAGUAGGGAAUCUUCCGCAAUGGACGAAAGUCUGACGGAGCAACGCCGCGUGAGUGAUGAAGGUUUUCGGAUCGUAAAGCUCUGUUGUUAGGGAAGAACAAGUGCGAGAGUAACUGCUCGCACCUUGACGGUACCUAACCAGAAAGCCACGGCUAACUACGUGCCAGCAGCCGCGGUAAUACGUAGGUGGCAAGCGUUGUCCGGAAUUAUUGGGCGUAAAGGGCUCGCAGGCGGUUUCUUAAGUCUGAUGUGAAAGCCCCCGGCUCAACCGGGGAGGGUCAUUGGAAACUGGGAAACUUGAGUGCAGAAGAGGAGAGUGGAAUUCCACGUGUAGCGGUGAAAUGCGUAGAGAUGUGGAGGAACACCA